UACGUAGGGUGCAAGCGUUGUCCGGAAUUAUUGGGCGUAAAGAGCUCGUAGGCGGUCUGUCGCGUCGAUCGUGAAAACUUGGGGCUUAACCCUGAGCUUGCGGUCGAUACGGGCAUGACUGGAGUUCGGCAGGGGAGACUGGAAUUCCUGGUGUAGCGGUGAAAUGCGCAGAUAUCAGGAGGAACACCGGUGGCGAAGGCGGGUCUCUGGACAGUUCCUGACACUGAGGCACGAAGGCCAGGGGAGCAAACGGG
rnacentral:rRNA from 1 species